rnacentral:pre_miRNA from 1 species
UGACGAUUCCGCGACCAGCUGAGUCUUUGAGAGUAGAGCAUGGAUCGAGCGGACGUUCUGCUUUCUAUGCUGUACUGCAAAGGCUCCGGUGGGAUAGCGCGG